GCCUUCGUGGUGUAGAGGUCAGCACACUCGGCGUGUAUUCCAGAGAUCCGUGGUUCGAGUCUCGGCGAGGGUA
rfam:Stegodyphus mimosarum contig37691, whole genome shotgun sequence.